rnacentral:rRNA from 1 species
CCUACGGGAGGCAGCAGUGAGGAAUAUUGGUCAAUGGACGGAAGUCUGAACCAGCCAAGUAGCGUGAAGGAUGACGGCCCUACGGGUUGUAAACUGCUUUUGUAAAAGAGUAAACUUAGACACGUGUGUUCUGUUGUAUGUACUUUACGAAUAAGGAUCGGCUAACUCCGUGCCAGCAGCCGCGGUAAUACGGAGGAUCCAAGCGUUAUCCGGAUUUAUUGGGUUUAAAGGGUGCGUAGACGGAUUGAUAAGUUAGAGGUGAAAUUUUUGGGCUUAACCCGGGAAUUGCCUCUGAUACUGUUGAUCUAGAGAAUAGAUGCGGUAGGCGGAAUGUAUGGUGUAGCGGUGAAAUGCUUAGAGAUCACGCAGAACACCGAUUGCGAAGGCAGCUUACCAAUCUAUAUCUGACGUUGAUGCACGAAAGCGUGGGUAUCAAACAGGAUUAGAUACCCCUGUAGUC